rnacentral:rRNA from 1 species
UACGUAGGGUGCAAGCGUUAAUCGGAAUUACUGGGCGUAAAGCGUGCGCAGGCGGUGAUGUAAGACAGAUGUGAAAUCCCCGGGCUCAACCUGGGAACUGCAUUUGUGACUGCAUCGCUGGAGUGCGGCAGAGGGGGAUGGAAUUCCGCGUGUAGCAGUGAAAUGCGUAGAUAUGCGGAGGAACACCGAUGGCGAAGGCAGUCCCCUGGGCCUGCACUGACACUCAUGCACGAAAGCGUGGGGAGCAAACAGG